AAAAAAACCAGCCCUCAGGAAACAUCGCUCAUCUCGAUCUCCCGUCGAAAAGAAAAACGCAGGGACGAGGCACUCCUGUCCCCUAGCCCCUCGCAUGCUAGGGUUCCUCACGCCGCCGUCGACGCCGCCGCCGCAUGGGUGUUCGUCGACUGGCCCUGCCUCCGGCCGCCGCCACCGCAGCCGCCCACCUUCAUCCUCUCCCCAACCCCGUCGGCCUCCAAUCCACCCCACUCCUCCGCGGGUGCCACCAAACCAUCGCCGCCCUCUCCCCGCACCCGUACCCAAGGAAUCAGCCGGCGGCCAGAUCCGCCCCUCCACUCACCCAACUCUCCCUCCGCCGCCGCGGACCUAGCAGGGAAGACGCGGACGAGAUCCCAAGUCGCUGCUCCUCCUCUCCCGGGAUGCAGCCGCCGCCGCCGAACCAGGGAGACGCCGGCGACCAUCGCCGCCGUCGUGGAUCACCAUGACGCCGCCGCCUGCACCGCCACCGCCGCGGUGUCGCGGCUGGCAUUGGCGAAUCCAUUCCCAGCGGCGGCGGCUUCCGGCGAGGAGGCGAGCGAGCUCGGGGAGCUCCGGCGGGGGCUUGUCGCCGGUGAGGCGAGGCCAAGGCGGCGGCGCGCGGGCGCGAGGAGGCGGGGUCGAGGAGGCGCAGGAGGACGCCGGCCGGUGGGGCUCCGGCGGGGGCUUGGUGAACGGCGUUGUGCUUGCGCGCGAGACCCGUGUCUGAUUUGGAAAGAAUCAAUCCGGUGAAGAAGAAGGCCAAUGCAAUUGCUCUCUAGCUAGGCACUGGAGUAUCUGCACCCCCAAUGGAAUGCUACGAAUUGCUGCUGGUACUGAACAUUGACAGGCAAGCAACAACAAACAGACUUUGCUGUUUUCAGUCUACUCAGAUAUUUGUUGGGCAUCACCGAGGAACGCCAGCAAAGGCGUGAAGAAAUACUCACAAUCAGUGUGACAUGUCGUGUGAGAUGAAGGUGGCAAACCAUCCAAACUUUAAGCCAAGCAUGUGGUGGAUCCGCCAUGGAUGAUGGAUGGACCGAUAAUUACGUCGCGGAUCACCGGGACAUGACUAUCGCAGAUCACCAGGACACCGCCGGCGGCGGCGCCUCGGAUACCGGCGACCGGCGGUGAUCUGAGACCAACGAGUCAGCACCACAUCCCUGGUACUUCCCUUCCCCAUCCGCCAACCCUCUACCCUCCCCCUCUACAAAGGCCCGUGCGGCCCUGUCCGUCCGACCUCGACGAACACGACCAAGGAUGGAUGUGCAUCCCGACGCCUCUCUUCUCCAUUGAUCCCCCAUCUCCUCAAGGUGAAUCUUCUCCACAGGGAGGAUCUGACGACGCCGAACGCAGCCAUGGAGCACCAGGAGCACGCGGAGACGAUGUGGGAGUGGGCGGUCUCCGAGGUUGCUAUUACGGGAUUACCUGAUGUUGCUUCAUGUCUGUUAUAUCUUUCAAUAUUUACAGAAACUUCCAAAACUAACACCAGUUAUUGGUGGUUUACACCGAUAGUUUCCAGACCUUUAUCGCAAGAUGGACGAACUUGGCAUCUCAGCCAGUACUCUACCUCAUCAACAGUUUGAUGUCCCUUUGAAUGAAGUUAGGCCAGCAUCAGAAGGUCCUAGCCUUUUUGAGGAGAUGAAGGUGAAGAAUAUUAAGCCGGAUAACCUCACAUGUUGCCUUCUAAUGACCAGCCAUGCGGCAUUGAACAAGAUAGAUGUUGUUGGAGAAGUUUCAGAAGAAAUGCAAGAGAAGGAUGUAGUUCUAGGGUGGUCUGCAUAUAGCAUGGUUUCUAUCUACCUGAGUGCUGGUUUGGUUUUAAAAAACAGUCCGCUCCGAAGAAACUCGAGGGCCUUGCUUUUAGAAGGUAACAUAAAUAUCUAUAUUGAUCGUUCAUGGUCCUGGGGCUGUUUGUUACCAUGUAAUAUAACAUAGUACUAUGCACAACGACGCGUCAUCACUAAGCUCAACAUCUAAAUAACUUGAAAUGUUGGCUCAGAGUUCUUUUACAACAUAAAAAUGAUUUUAUUUCUCCCGAUGCAUUGUUAUUUAGGCUUCAUUAUUCUGCAAUUUCUGUCAAAGUACUAAACAUGAAAUAUAUAAUUUGGUAAUGAACCGCAAAAUAUAUAUAUGUCCCCUGUUUUGUUAUUUAGGCUUCAUUAUUCUACAAAAUAUAUUUAUUACUUUGGUUACUCAGAUUACCACAAAAUAUAUAAGUUGUUUAGGCUUAUAUUUUGUUAUUAUUCUACAAAAUAUAUAAGUUGUUUAGGCAUAUACAAUAACUUACCGAUAAAUAUAUUUUGUUAUUUAGGCUUCAUUAUUCUACAAUUUCUGGCAAAUCAAUAAACAUGCCAUACAUAAGUUGUUUUUGAACCCCAAAAAAUAUAUAUAUUUGUCCCCUGUUGCAACGUACAACCUCUUUUCCUUUAUUUCCUUACUUAAUAUUAAAGGGAGGUGAGUUUCUUUAAAAAGUUUACAUUGUUUAUAAAAUUUUAAAACCAUGGGAAAGUAGUGCAUCAGGGAAGGUUCACCACUAGACCCCCCUGAUUGCAACGAAACAUCCUUUAUGUUGGAUUUUUUGGUAAUUAUGUAUUUAACAAAGCUCUCGUGUUUUGCUGGCGCAUGCCGUUUGUUCCUCUACAAGUGCCACUUCGCUGCAACCACUCUGUCAUUCAUGAAGAAUGUGAAGGCAAGGCUCCAUUUAAGGGAACGCGGCUAGCAACUAGACCCUCUAGGUGGACGCGAUCUUGAGCAGCGAAGAGCAGAUGCUCCGACAAGGCGAGCGUGGUUGCAGGCGACUGUUACACAUGUCGAGUUUGCUGACAAGAUUUCUGUCUCGGAAGGCGAGCGCGAGGCCACCACAAGGUGGAUUGACGGAUUGCUCUAAAAUUGUUGUACGUGCAGGAGCAGAGCUGAGCUCGCUGUAGGCGGUGGAGGCGCACACGUUCCCACACCAGUUUGCCAAGAUGAAGAAGAAAGUUGGCCUCACGCCCUCUGCCAUUAUAUCUGCGAGGGCGUCUGACAGUUCGGUGCUCAAAUCAAUUGAUGCCAACAGACCAGUGAGGCGCAAUAACUGAAUGCAGGCGCAAGAACACUGACUUCAGGAACAGAGCAUUCGCGUUCCUGUUUGCUGACGGGGCCAACGACGAGUUGAGCUCGCUGUAGGCGAUGGAGGCGCACGCGUUCCCGCACCAGUUCGCUGAGAUGAAGAAAGUUGGCCUCGCGCCCGCUCCCAUUAUCUCUGCGAGGGCCUCUAACACUUCGGUUCUCAAAUCAAUUGACGCCAACAGACCAGUGAGGUCCAAUUACCCCCUGAUUUCGACGCGGUUGUUAGAGAAUUUUUUGCAUUAAUUUCCUCAUUUGUGCAACAUGUGUAAUUCUGCAUAUGAGCACCGAAAUCUGUGAGUGAGGUUUACAGCAGUUUGAUGAUCUUAUGUUUCUUGCAGGCGCAAAAACUUUAUAUUUGUUGCUGUCAAAGAAUGAGAGACAACCAUUAUCAUUGCACUGAAUGCAACUUGUAAA